AACGAACGCUGGCGGCAGGCUUAACACAUGCAAGUCGAGCGCCCCGCAAGGGGAGCGGCAGACGGGUGAGUAACGCGUGGGAAUCUACCCAUCUCUACGGAAUAACGCAUGGAAACGUGUGCUAAUACCGUAUACGUCCUUCGGGAGAAAGAUUUAUCGGAGAUGGAUGAGCCCGCGUUGGAUUAGCUAGUUGGUGGGGUAAAGGCCUACCAAGGAGACGAUCCAUAGCUGGUCUGAGAGGAUGAUGAGCCACACUGGGACUGAGACACGGCCCAGACUCCUACGGGAGGCAGCAGUGGCGAAUAUGGGACAAUGGGAGCAAACCUGAUCCAGCCAUGCCGCGUGAGUGAUGAAGGCCCGAGGGUUGUAAAGCUCUUUCACCGGUGAAGAUAAUGGCGGUAACCGGGGAAGAAGCCCCGGCUAACUUCGUGCCAGCAGCCGCCGUAAGAC
rnacentral:rRNA from 1 species